UGACUUCAGCAGUACAUAUACUAAAAUUAGAAUGACACAGAGAAGAUUAGCAUGGCUCUGUGCAAGGAUGAUAUGCUGAUUUGUGAAGCAGUCCAUAUUUUU
ensembl:snRNA U6 U6 spliceosomal RNA